rnacentral:rRNA from 1 species
GACGAACGCUGGCGGCGUGCUUAACACAUGCAAGUCGAACGGAAAGGCCCUGCUUUUGUGGGGUGCUCGAGUGGCGAACGGGUGAGUAACACGUGAGUAACCUGCCCUUGACUUUGGGAUAACUUCAGGAAACUGGGGCUAAUACCGGAUAGGAGCUCCUGCUGCAUGGUGGGGGUUGGAAAGUUUCGGCGGUUGGGGAUGGACUCGCGGCUUAUCAGCUUGUUGGUGGGGUAGUGGCUUACCAAGGCUUUGACGGGUAGCCGGCCUGAGAGGGUGACCGGCCACAUUGGGACUGAGAUACGGCCCAGACUCCUACGGGAGGCAGCAGUGGGGAAUAUUGCACAAUGGGCGGAAGCCUGAUGCAGCAACGCCGCGUGCGGGAUGACGGCCUUCGGGUUGUAAACCGCUUUCGCCUGUGACGAAGCGUGAGUGACGGUAAUGGGUAAAGAAGCACCGGCUAACUACGUGCCAGCAGCCGCGGCGAUACGUAGGGUGCGAGCGUUGUCCGGAUUUAUUGGGCGUAAAGGGCUCGUAGGUGGUUGAUCGCGUCGGAAGUGUAAUCUUGGGGCUUAACCCUGAGCGUGCUUUCGAUACGGGUUGACUUGAGGAAGGUAGGGGAGAAUGGAAUUCCUGGUGGAGCGGUGGAAUGCGCAGAUAUCAGGAGGAACACCAGUGGCGAAGGCGGUUCUCUGGGCCUUUCCUGACGUUGAGGAGCGAAAGCGUGGGGAGCGAACAGGCUUAGAUACCCUGGUAGUCCACGCUGUAAACGGUGGGUACUAGGUGUGGGGUCCAUUCCACGGGUUCCGUGCCGUAGCUAACGCUUUAAGUACCCCGCCUGGGGAGUACGGCCGCAAGGCUAAAACUCAAAGGAAUUGACGGGGCCCCGCACAAGCGGCGGAGCAUGCGGAUUAAUUCGAUGCAACGCGUAGAACCUUACCUGGGUUUGACAUGGAUCGGGAGUGCUCAGAGAUGGGUGUGCCUCUUUUGGGGUCGGUUCACAGGUGGUGCAUGGCUGUCGUCAGCUCGUGUCGUGAGAUGUUGGGUUAAGCCCCGCAACGAGCGCAACCCUUGUUCACUGUUGCCAGCACGUUAUGGUGGGGACUCAGUGGAGACCGCCGGGGUCAACUCGGAGGAAGGUGGGGAUGACGUCAAGUCAUCAUGCCCCUUAUGUCCAGGGCUUCACGCAUGCUACAAUGGCUGGUACAGAGAGUGGCGAGCCUGUGAGGGUGAGCGAAUCUCGGAAAGCCGGUCUCAGUUCGGAUUGGGGUCUGCAACUCGACCUCAUGAAGUCGGAGUCGCUAGUAAUCGCAGAUCAGCAACGCUGCGGUGAAUACGUUCCCGGG